UACGAAGGGGGCUAGCGUUGCUCGGAAUCACUGGGCGUAAAGCGCACGUAGGCGGCUCUUUAAGUCAGGGGUGAAAUCCUGGAGCUCAACUCCAGAACUGCCUUUGAUACUGACGGUCUGGAGAUCGGGAGAGGUUGGUGGAAUUCCGAGUGUAGAGGUGAAAUUCGUAGAUAUUCGGAGGAACACCAGAAGCGAAGGCGGCCAACUGGCCCGAUACUGACGCUGAGGCGCGAAAGCGUGGGGAGCAAACAGG
rnacentral:rRNA from 1 species